GUUUAUGCCGCAUGGCAUAAGAGUGAAAGGCGCUUUCGGGUGUCGCUGAUGGAUGGACCCGCGGUGCAUUAGCUAGUUGGUGAGGUAACGGCUCACCAAGGCCACGAUGCAUAGCCGACCUGAGAGGGUGAUCGGCCACACUGGGACUGAGACACGGCCCAGACUCCUACGGGAGGCAGCAGUAGGGAAUCUUCGGCAAUGGACGAAAGUCUGACCGAGCAACGCCGCGUGAGUGAAGAAGGUUUUCGGAUCGUAAAACUCUGUUGUUAGAGAAGAACAAGGACGUUAGUAACUGAACGUCCCCUGACGG
rnacentral:rRNA from 1 species